rnacentral:rRNA from 1 species
GACAGAGGUUGCAAACGUUGUUCGGAAUCACUGGGCAUAAAGCGCACGUAGGCGGUCUGUUAAGUCAGGUGUGAAAGCCCCCGGCUCAACCGGGGAACAGCAUCUGAUACUGGCAGACUCGAGGAUGGUAGGGGUGAGUGGAACUCCAGGUGGAGCGGUGAAAUGCGUAGAUAUCUGGAGGAACACCGGUGGCGAAAGCGGCUCACUGGACCAUAACUGACGCUGAGGUGCGAAAGCUAGGGUAGCAAACGGG